GUGGGGAAUAUUGGACAAUGGGGGGAACCCUGAUCCAGCCAUGCCGCGUGUGUGAAGAAGGCCUUUUGGUUGUAAAGCACUUUAAGCGAGGAGGAGGCUACCGAGAUUAAUACUCUUGGAUAGUGGACGUUACUCGCAGAAUAAGCACCGGCUAACUCUGUGCCAGCAGCCGCGGUAAUACAGAGGGUGCAAGCGUUAAUCGGAUUUACUGGGCGUAAAGCGCGCGUAGGUGGCCAAUUAAGUCAAAUGUGAAAUCCCCGAGCUUAACUUGGGAAUUUGAUUCGAUACUGGUUGGCUAGAGUAUGGGAGAGGAUGGUAGAAUUCCAGGUGUAGCGGUGAAAUGCGUAGAGAUCUGGAGGAAUACCGAUGGCGAAGGCAGCCAUCUGGCCUAAUACUGACACUGAGGUGCGAAAGCAUGGGGAGCAAACAGGAUUAGAAACCCGGGUAGUCC
rnacentral:rRNA from 1 species